rnacentral:rRNA from 1 species
GAUCUUGGUCAGGAUGAACGCUGGCGGCGUGCCUAAUACGUGCAAGUCGAGCGAACAGAUAAGGAGCUUGCUCCUUGACGUUAGCGGCGGACGGGUGAGUAACACGUGGGUAACCUACCUAUAAGACUGGGAUAACUUCGGGAAACCGGAGCUAAUACCGGAUAACAUUUGGAACCGCAUGGUUCUAAAGUGAAAGAUGGUUUUGCUAUCACUUAUAGAUGGACCCGCGCCGUAUUAGCUAGUUGGUAAGGUAACGGCUUACCAAGGCGACGAUACGUAGCCGACCUGAGAGGGUGAUCGGCCACACUGGAACUGAGACACGGUCCAGACUCCUACGGGAGGCAGCAGUAGGGAAUCUUCCGCAAUGGGCGAAAGCCUGACGGAGCAACGCCGCGUGAGUGAUGAAGGGUUUCGGCUCGUAAAACUCUGUUAUUAGGGAAGAACAAAUGUGUAAGUAACUGUGCACGUCUUGACGGUACCUAAUCAGAAAGCCACGGCUAACUGCGUGCCAGCCGCCGC